rnacentral:rRNA from 1 species
UACGUAGGGUGCGAGCGUUAAUCGGAAUUACUGGGCGUAAGGCGUGCGCAGGCGGUUUUGUAAGUCAGAUGUGAAAUCCCCCGGCUUAACCUGGGAACUGCGUUUGAAACUACAAGGCUUGAGUGUAGCCGAGGGGGGUGGAAUUCCACGUGUAGCAGUGAAAUGCGUAGAGAUGUGGAGGAACACCGAUGGCGAAGGCAGCCCCCUGGGUUAACACUGACGCUCAGGCACGAGAGCGUGGGGAGCAAACAGG